UGAAACGGUUUUUAUUGUGGGGAAUGAGUAAGGGAGGUGGGUGAAUCCCUGGCAGUCGAAGUCAGACGAAGGAGGAAAGCCGGCGGGGGGACAGACGCAGGACGAGUGGAGCCGGGAGUCUAGGGGAAAAAGAAGUGAGCUGAAUGGUUUCUGAGGGUGUCCCAAGGAGACAGGGCAGGUGACAGCCCGGACAGCUGGAGUCUGGACAGAGCAGGGAUACAGAGACGUUAAAACCUCCAAUUUUGCAACAUACCUUUGGAGCGACUAGAAAGUACUGACUGUUCUCGGGAUAAGAAGCCUCCUGCUGGAUUCAGCAUGCCUCCAGAGUUUGACUUCAUUGAUGACAAAUGCAGACUGGCCAAACCGUCUCCUGCUGGGGAUAUUUGGCACUGACUGCUGGAGUGUUUCUGCAGGACGUCGACUGGAAGAUUGUCUCUGACGCGACGGGGAAGCAGCCUUUAAAUUUUACAAGCCACCAAACAUCUGUCUGCUGCAACCACGCAACCUUUAGCUUCAGCUCUGUGCUCUUUUGUUUUUCCUUUCCCACUCAUUUCCCAGAGAGACUGAUGCUGCUAAUGGGUACUAGCACGGUAAAAGGCUUUUCAGAUUAGCACUCCAAAAGCUGCUUUAGGAUUCUUCCCGGUCCCAGCUGUGAGACCGCCUUCAGAAAGAAAGAGAAGAAAAACUUUGAAGGUUGAAUUUAAUGUUGUGUUAGCGUUAGCAUGUUUAUUUCCAUACGAGGCCACGUGCACGUGUGUCUGCAUUUGAAUUAUUGCUUUAAUUUUCCCCUUUAUGUGACCGUAAAUGGACGCUUUUACAUAAAGCCACUGAGGCCUCAUAAAAGUGCCCGUGUUGAGAUAGUGGAUCUAGUUAAGUUCCUCCUCAGAGUGAGCCACAGAUGAAAAAAAGAAAUUCCUUCCACUCGUCUCCAUCGGUUAUAUCCGUCUGAUUCACGCUGUUGAUGAACCGUCUAGGCUUUUUCUCUUCUUUUUUUUCCCACGCUGACCUGAAAGAUCAAAAACACGAGUCAGAUUAUAACGUAGGUGGAGGCCAAACACCCACACUCAUCCAAAUACCCACUUUACUCAGCCCUGCAGAAAUUAAUUUGAUUUCUUUUCCAGGCUGUUGUUAGAGAGAGAGAAAAGAGACUCAAUCCAAUACGAUACAUCAUUUCUAAUAAAUCAGUUUCAGGGAGACAUUGCUGCCCAACAUUCAUUAGCUUUUCUUCCCAUGAUUAUAAAACCAGAAAUUGGAGUGAUUUGUAGGUGAACGUUUUUUAAAUAACUCACCGCAGCAGUUAUCUCGUGCUGAUUUAUUCAUAUAGCCUCAUUUUGCCUUGUAAAUGAUCAAACUUUAAUGGCCGAGAACAAAAGGCAACAGGUUUGCAGCACGUAUAAACCUGCGGAGUGUCGAUGUUUGCGUCCGUGGGGAUCAGGACCACGAGUGUUUUCACCAAUCAUAGCAUUUUAAUUGCAUGUGGGAAAUGACAUUAAGGUCACAAUUGAGAUCAGCAUUAAAUCUGCAUGCUUUAGCACAGAGCAUGAAUAAAUAACAUUUGUUGUGGAAGCCACCGAUAUGAUUUCCAUGUUUAAGUGACACAGUUUAUCCAAUGCUUCCUGCUCCUACCAUGACUGUGGAGUUUCAGUUAAACUCAGACAUUUUUACAGUUUUGCGAGUGUAGGCACAUCAUUGUAUUUUGCCUGUGUCCAUAUUAUUCACCAAAUCUCUCCACUUUUUACCAGUACCUUGGGGUUGCAUUGGACUUCAACCUCAAUUUUAAAAAUUCCUUUAGAUAGAGUUAUUUUCGGGGCCUUUUUGCCUUUAUUAUAGUGUACAAUGGAGAAAGAGAGACAGGGAAAGUGGUUAGAAACGUGGGGGAAAGACAGUAAAUGACUAUGGGUCGUAAUCGAAUCCAUGACCGAUCGCCCUUGUUUAUGGGUGCCCUGACUCACAAAAUUUGACACUAAUUGGCCUUUCAUUGCAACAGAAGCUGCUAAAUCCGACCUCUACUCCAUGAUCCUUUCUCACAUUGAAUACUGCUUCACAACCUGGUCCUUUUCUAGUGUCACUGCUCUAAAACCUCCUGGACGGCUUUAAAGAAAAAGCCAACAAGGUGUUUGACAAAAAGCCACAGUCAUUCCAUCACUGUGCAAUCUAAAUGAAAUAUCAAUUCCUAAGCCUUGAGAAUUUAAAAUCAUUUAAAAGUGCUUGCUUAAUAUAUCAGUCUAUGAAUGGGAUGGUCUCACCGCCCCUGAGGGAUUUUAUCCAAAAGAGAAAUGGUUUUACUAAUACAAGGUACUAAUACAAGGGGUGACUGUGAAGUAAAAUUUAGAAAGUCCUCCUUUGCACAGAAUGCCUUUUCUAGUAAAGGUUACACAAACUGGAAUACUUUAAUUAGAGCUAUCAGAGCAAGAUCCACCUUGGUCAGUUUUAAGAGGCAGUAUAAGGCAUGGCUGAUGAACAAGCUUGUGAACAUUGAGAAAAUCAGGCAUUUUAAAAACAGACACUUUAACUAAAUGUACUUUAUGACAGGCUCUUUUUAUAUUUCUUGUAACUCUGCAUGUUUUUCUUUUAUGUUUGGGACAACAGAUGGAAAUUAGCCUUGUGCUAAAUCCUCCCAAUUUACUGCAACCUUUGUGUAAACUUAUGAGAUUGUACGUUCAUUACUAUGCACUGUCCCAAAGAAAUUAAACUUUUUCAGCUUUUUGCCAUAAAAUCUGCCAUCUAGAUACUUCA